rnacentral:tRNA from 1 species
GCCCCCAUAGUUCAAGUGGAAGAACGAGGGACUCCUAAGCCUUAGAUGCCUGGUUCGACUCCAGCUGGGGGCACCA